GACGAACGCUGGCGGCGUGCUUAACACAUGCAAGUCGAACGGAAAGGCCCUGCAUUUGUGGGGUGCUCGAGUGGCGAACGGGUGAGUAACAAGUGAGUAACCUGCCCUUGACUUGGGGAUAACUUCAGGAAACUGGGGCUAAUACCGGAUAGGAGCUCCUGCUGCAUGGUGGGGGUUGGAAAGUUUCGGCGGUUGGGGAUGGACUCGCGGCUUAUCAGCUUGUUGGUGGGGUAGUGGCUUACCAAGGCUUUGACGGGUAGCCGGCCUGAGAGGGUGACCGGCCACAUUGGGACUGAGAUACGGCCCAGACUCCUACGGGAGGCAGCAGUGGGGAAUAUUGCACAAUGGGCGGAAGCCUGAUGCAGCAACGCCGCGUGCGGGAUGACGGCCUUCGGGUUGUAAACCGCUUUCGCCUGUGACGAAGCGUGAGUGACGGUAAUGGGUAAAGAAGCACCGGCUAACUACGUG
rnacentral:rRNA from 1 species